UUAUUUCUCACAUCUGUAGCUCCAAUUUUCUGUUUCAGAAACCUACUAUUGACUUUCUCAUCUGCUGUGUGUAGAGGACAGAAAACGAUCUGUGGCCAAGGAACAGCUAAAUAAGAGAGAUUGGGUCCACCUUCCUGAUGAAUGUGAUGUAAUGUUUAAAAAGCACCUCUUUCAUUCCUAAAGACUGAGUAGGAUGACACUUAGAAAAUAAUCCCUUGAGGUUAGAUUUAGGACCUUGGAAAAGUUCCACCUAACCAUGUCCUCUGUACCAUUUUCAUUUGAUUAUUAUUUGGAUACAUUUUCACUUACUUUAAGCCUUUCCCUUGUAAUUACUUAUUCCAAGAUUUGUAAAUCAGUGGCAAAAGAAUUGUUGGCCAACAUUUUGCCUCCUUUAUACAAAUGAUCCUUUUUAAUUAUAUGACUCCCAUUUAAACUGGCUCUAUGUGGCCAAUAUGAUCUUAGUUUACGAUUGUGCAAGAACUGUUUUGCGAUGUUUCUGACACUGAAUUUGGGCCUUUUCUUCUCUUCCAUGCAGCUCACCUUUUCUCUUUGUUGAAGUCAUCUGAGAAAGGUGGAGAGGCUUACAGAAACCCUUGGCCAUAGCUACCACUGAAGGCCGCGUCGGCUGCACAGUCUGCUGUGGUUUUAAGGAGACGCUCGGUGGAUUCCUGACGGGACCGGUGAACGCGGUCCCUUCCGGAGGUCAGGCUUUAGAAAGCCGCGGGUCUGAGAGGCAUCCGAGGGGCCUGAACAAAGGCAGCAGGGAGGUCCGGCAGCCCUUGCUGAGGUGCGGCGGGGACCAUGCAGCAACCAGCAGUCAGCAGCUGCUCCUGAUCCCGGGCUUGAAUGAUUCCGGGGCCUCCGUGGGCCGCUCCUGCACAAAAACCUGCGCCAUCACCUGGCUGUGCGAGGCCUCCUGUGUUUGCUCCCCUAGUUCCUGUCUGCACAGGGACAGCAGAGGGCUGGUCAGCAUGACACCCAUAGACAGCAGUAGCUGCCUCCUUGGAGCACUUGACAUUCAGACCAGCAUGGCUCUUGUAGUCCCUGGGGGCCCACGUGUCCUGAGCCCAGUCCCUGGCCAGGCCGAGUCUGCUUUUGCUCAAAUAUAAUCUUUAGAAGCUUGUCCUUGAGGGAUGCCUGCAGGAAAAAGUCAAUGAUCUCCCACUCAGAGCAGAGGGAAGAAAUCUCCUCCAGGGACUUGAUCUUCAUGAGCUUGACCAGGUGGCUGAGGAUGGUGAGAGGGUCCCCUUCUUGCCCUCAGCCUCGCUGCCCCAGGGCUCCUGAACCUCCCCAUGUCCUUGGAUCAUCUAUCAUCUGGGGUUUUGCUGGGGAAUACUAUGGAGAUAUCUCAUUGUACUAUAUUUAAAUGUAGGUUCCUAGAUUAUCGUGAUGACAGCUAACUUGUCAGUACUUAACCUAAAGAGGAAGAACUUUCUGAUGUAAGUCAUUUCUCUAAUAAUCUUGAGGUAGUAAAAAUAUCAAGAUUUUUAAAAGUUAUACAGUGCUAAGAUUCAGAUUUUAAUGGCCUAAUUUAUGUCUCUCUCAUGUGCAUGAUUUAUACAAGCAUUCCUCACUCUCAUUGUCUUUGGGAUGCAGUGUGGACCCCACACCUCUUCCCUCCAGCUCCCUGCAGUAGAACAUUUCCUCCUCUUAAAGUGAAAGAAAUUGUAUACCCAGGGCCCCCUCUGCAGCACAGUGUCAUCUGACUCAUCUUAUCACACCACUGAUUUUCCACAGAGGGACCACUGUUGAAUAAAUAUUUUCCACUCCAUCUACAUUUCCUGGUUCCUAAAGCUCUUUUCUCUCUGAGAACAAAAAUAUUGCUUGGUUAAGACACCAUGCUCUAUUUCAAACCAGUGUGCCACCAAAUUUUGUCUAUUUGAAUAUCUUUUAAAAGACAAACUACCCAUAUUAAAAUAUUACUCACAUGACCAAAAAUGGACCAGGUACCUUCUCAGUCAGCUGAUGAUUUUACUAAGUGUUCAAAAGGCCCCUUUGUAAUUGUACUCCUUUUAGAAACAUAACCUUUAAGCUGCUUUCUAAACAUUGUCUAAUACCUUUACCAAAGUGAGUAUACAUAUAUAAAAGUAUAUUUAUAUUUGCAACAUUCGUAUUUUCCAACUGGAGAAACUGUGAGUUUGAUUUGUUACUAUAUUAAUGAUAACCCUUAUAAAUGAUUAGGUAGGUCUCAGAGAAGCCAUACCCCUUCAAGACAUGCAUAACUAAACAAACACCAGCAGCAAUCACAUUAACUCCAACCCUGGGUACCAUUACCAUCUGCUACUACUGAGCUGAACCUGAUAGCUAUGUUUAUUCCCACUUUAAAGAUGAGCUACCUGCAGCUGAGCACAUUUCAAUGACUUCGUCAAGGUCAAAGGACAUAUUUAAAACAGAAGCAGAGAGAGAUACUAAUUUUUCUGACUUUCAAGAGUGCAUAUUUGGGUAUCAAGUACUAUGUUACAUCAAGAUUUUGAAAUAUUAACAAAAUUUGCUUCUUAUCAAAACAAAAUAGAUAUUUGUACAAAAUAUCACAUUAAAAAUUUUGGGUAUCAAUCCUAACAAUCCUAAUGUCUCAAUCCAUGAAUUCAUGACUGUUUUCCUCAUCCUCCAAAACUUCGAGAUCCUGGGGCUGGGGAUUUAGCUCAGCGGCAAAAGCGCCUGCCUGGCAAGCGCAAGGUCAUGAGUUCGGUUCCCGGUACCGGA
ensembl:lincRNA